rnacentral:rRNA from 1 species
GACAGAGGGUGCAAACGUUGUUCGGAAUUACUGGGCGUAAAGCGCGUGUAGGCGGCCAUGCAAGUCGGAUGUGAAAGCCCUCGGCUCAACCGGGGAAGUGCACUCGAAACUGCAAGGCUAGAGUCUCGGAGAGGAUCGUGGAAUUCUCGGUGUAGAGGUGAAAUUCGUAGAUAUCGAGAGGAACACCGGUGGCGAAGGCGGCGAUCUGGACGAUGACUGACGCUCAGGCACGAAAGCGUGGGGAGCAAACAGGA